rnacentral:lncRNA from 1 species
UUUUGCUUCGAGGUCAUUGUCAUCCUUAAAAAUUUCUCUACAAUUUGGCGACGGGAAUGGUGAAUUGAUUGAUCUCUCUGCGAAAGAAGGGAAAUCCAUCACAGUGAGCCAAUCAUCAACCUUGGCAUUGGUAUAUGUUGAUUGGUCACUAGAUCUCAUAUCAAAAUGCAAUGCUAAGUUCUUUGAGAACUUGCCUGAAGUCUUCAAGUUUGGACCUGUGAGUAAGAAGGCUCGUAAUGAGCCCCUCUCCUUGUACACUUGUCUGGAAGCUUUCCUACGCGAGGAACCCUUGGUUCCUGAGGACAUGUGGUUAGUACCUUUCUUUCCUCUUGCUAGUUAAUACUCUAGUAUGGAAAGUAUAUGAGUCAUUUGCAAUGUAUAUUUUAAAAGGUACUGUCCACAAUGCAAAGAACGACGGCAAGCGAGUAAGAAGCUUGAUUUAUGGAGGCUUCCAGAGGUGCUGGUGAUCCAUUUGAAGCGGUUCUCAUACAGUAGAUCUAUGAAACACAAACUAGAAACCUUUGUUAACUUCCCAAUACGUGAUUUUGAUUUGACAAACUACGUGGGCAACAAGAACAGCACCCGUCGUCAACUCUAUGAACUAUAUGCCCUGACCAAUCAUUAUGGUGGCAUGGGAAGUGGGCAUUACACUGCGCACAUCAAGGUGAGAACAAAUUAGUAGUCUUUUUUAGUUUAUUGUAUCAUUUCCCUUGAUUUCCUCUGCUGUUCUGUUCCUAUUCUUGAAUCUUGAUUGUUGUCAAAUGUUUUUAGUAUUAUUAUGAUGCAUGUGUGUGAUGUCUGAAAAAUCGUGCAGCUUUUGGAAGAAAACAAAUGGUACAACUUCGACGACAGCCAUAUAUCGCUUAUUAACGAGGAUGAUGUCAAAUCAGCUGCUGCUUACGUUCUGUUUUACACACUUGCUUCUCCAGUUGACUCAUCGACGUAAACAGCAGUAUGUAACCAGUUAUAUCACUGAUUUCAUGCAUCAUUGAAUCCCUUUAUGCUUAGCUGGUUCUCACGUUACUAGUCUUGACAUAUAUUUCUGGUUCUCGUUGGUUAACAUGAUCGAUGAUCAGGGAAGCAGGAAAAAAUGGCUCGUCGCUUCAGUGGAAGGCAUUUGGAACUCCUGUCAUUACAUCCAUUUCGUACGAAGAUGUCCUCGCAGGAGAAGAUGUACAGAGAGAAGUUCAAAAGAUUCUUUUACCAUGGUUAAGCGGGGAAGCAACAGAGGAUUCUGGUAAUGGCACUCCUGAUGAAGUUUGUACCGAUCACGUAACAGAUUCAGUAAAGAGCAAUGGUUUUGCUUCCAAGUCAUUAUCAUCCUUAAAAAUUUCUCUACAAUUUGGCGACGGGAAUGGUGAAUUGAUUGAUCUCUCUGCGAAAGAAGGGAAAUCCAUCACAGUGAGCCAAUCAUCAACCUUGGCAUUGGUAUAUGUUGAUUGGUCACUAGAUCUCAUAUCAAAAUGCAAUGCUAAGUUCUUUGAGAACUUGCCUGAAGUCUUCAAGUUUGGACCUGUGAGUAAGAAGGCUCGUAAUGAGCCCCUCUCCUUGUACACUUGUCUGGAAGCUUUCCUACGCGAGGAACCCUUGGUUCCUGAGGACAUGUG